GACGAACGCUGGCGGCGUGCUUAACACAUGCAAGUCGAACGGAAAGGCCCUGCUUUUGCUGGGUGCUCGAGUGGCGAACGGGUGAGUAACACGUGAGUAACCUGCCCUUGACUUUGGGAUAACUUCAGGAAACUGGGGCUAAUACCGGAUAGGAGCUCCUGCUGCACGGUGGGGGUUGGAAAGAUUCGGCGGUUGGGGAUGGACUCGCGGCUUAUCAGCUUGUUGGUGGGGUAGUGGCUUACCAAGGCUUUGACGGCUAGCCGGCCUGAGAGGGUGACCGGCGACAUGGCGACUGAGAUACGGCGCAGACUCGUACGGGAGGCAGUGGUGGGGAAUAUUACAGAAUGGGCGGAAGUCUGAUGUAGAAAUGCCGGGUGCGGAAUAACGGCUUACGGGUUGAAAACAAAUGUGUAAGGUGACGAACAGUGAUUGACGGUAAUGGGUCAAGAAGCAACGGCUAACUACGUG
rnacentral:rRNA from 1 species